GGAGUCGUGCGAGUGCCCUCUCGGGCUUCGCUCCUCUCGAAAUGUAUCGGUGACCGUCUCAUUCGCGGAUCCUCCGGCGUGAUAAUUAUCUACGUCGUCGCGCAUCCGUGUCCGACAGACCUCGCCUACAACCGUCCCUUCGCGGACAGACUUAUGACGAAUUUGACCUCGGAUCAGGUAGGAUUACCCGCUGAACUUAA
rnacentral:misc_RNA from 1 species